rnacentral:rRNA from 1 species
UACGAAGGGGGGCUAGCGUUGUUCGGAAUUACUGGGCGUAAAGCGCACGUAGGCGGAAUGUUAAGUCAGGGGUGAAAUCCCGGGGCUCAACCCCGGAACUGCCUUUGAUACUGGCGAUCUCGAGUUCGGAAGAGGGUCGUGGAAUUCCCAGUGUAGAGGUGAAAUUCGUAGAUAUUGGGGAAGAACACCGGUGGCGAAGGCGGCGACCUGGUCCGAUGACUGACGUGAGGCGCGAAAGCGUGGGGAGCAAACAGG